rnacentral:rRNA from 1 species
GAAGCCCAGCUUGCUGGGUGGAUCAGUGGCGAACGGGUGAGUAACACGUGAGCAACCUGCCCUCCACUUCGGGAUAAGCCUUGGAAACGGGGUCUAAUACCGGAUAUGAGCGCCUGCCGCAUGGUGGGUGUUGGAAAGUUUUUCGGUGGGGGAUGGGCUCGCGGCCUAUCAGCUUGUUGGUGGGGUGAUGGCCUACCAAGGCUUCGACGGGUAGCCGGCCUGAGAGGGCGACCGGCCACACUGGGACUGAGACACGGCCCAGACUCCUACGGGAGGCAGCAGUGGGGAAUAUUGCACAAUGGGCGCAAGCCUGAUGCAGCGACGCCGCGUGAGGGAUGACGGCCUUCGGGUUGUAAACCUCUUUCAGCAGGGAAGAAGCGCAAGUGACGGUACCUGCAGAAGAAGCGCCGGCUAACUACGUGCCAGCAGCCGCGGUAAUACGUAGGGCGCAAGCGUUGUCCGGAAUUAUUGGGCGUAAAGAGCUCGUAGGCGGUCUGUCGCGUCUGGUGUGAAAACCCGAGGCUCAACCUCGGGCUUGCAUCGGGUACGGGCAGACUAGAGUGCGGUAGGGGAGACUGGAAUUCCUGGUGUAGCGGUGGAAUGCGCAGAUAUCAGGAGGAACACCGAUGGCGAAGGCAGGUCUCUGGGCCGCAACUGACGCUGAGGAGCGAAAGCAUGGGGAGCGAACAGGAUUAGAUACCCUGGUAGUCCAUGCCGUAAACGUUGGGCACUAGGUGUGGGGCUCAUUCCACGAGUUCCGUGCCGCAGCU